UACAGGGUGUAUCAAAAAAAGGAGACCUUUAGAAAUCAAGCGUAUUGUUAAAAUUUGAAUGCCUUUUCUAUUGCACAUGUGCUGAACCGUAGUGCGUGAAAUAUUGAUGGGGUGCAUAUAUUAGAAAAAGGAGACCUUUAGAAAUUGAAAUAACAUUUAAACAAAAGAUUGUCUGCUCCUGGGAACAAUCUGCCAUGCAUACUGUACGUAGAACGCAUGUUACGCACUCGUGGGCUUAGCAAAGUGCUCCAG